rnacentral:rRNA from 1 species
AACGAACGCUGGCGGCGUGGAUAAGACAUGCAAGUCGAACGGGAGAAUUGCUAGCUUGCUAAUAAUUCUCUAGUGGCGCACGGGUGAGUAACACGUGAGUAACCUGCCUCUUAGUGGGGGAUAGCCCUGGGAAACCGGGAUUAAUACCGCAUACGAUUGAAAGAUCAAAGCAGCAAUGCGCUAGGAGAUGGGCUCGCGGCCUAUUAGUUAGUUGGUGAGGUAACGGCUCACCAAGGCGAUGACGGGUAGCCGGUCUGAGAGGAUGUCCGGCCACACUGGAACUGAGACACGGUCCAGACACCUACGGGUGGCAGCAGUCGAGAAUCAUUCACAAUGGGGGCAACCCUGAUGGUGCGACGCCGCGUGGGGGAAUGAAGGUCUUCGGAUUGUAAACCCCUGUCAUGUGGGAGCAAAUUAAAAAGAUAGUACCACAAGAGGAAGAGACGGCUAACUCUGUGCCAGCAGCCGCGGUAAUACAGAGGUCUCAAGCGUUGUUCGGAAUCACUGGGCGUAAAGCGUGCGUAGGCUGUUUCGUAAGUCGUGUGUGAAAGGCAGGGGCUCAACCCCCUGGAUUGCACAUGAUACUGCGAGACUAGAGUAAUGGAGGGGGAACCGGAAUUCUCGGUGUAGCAGUGAAAUGCGUAGAUAUCGAGAGGAACACUCGUGGCGAAGGCGGGUUCCUGGACAUUAACUGACGCUGAGGCACGAAGGCCAGGGGAGCGAAAGGGAUUAGAUACCCCUGUAGUCCUGGCAGUAAACGGUGCACGCUUGGUGUGCGGGGAAUCGACCCCCUGCGUGCCGGAGCUAACGCGUUAAGCGUGCCGCCUGGGGAGUACGGUCGCAAGAUUAAAACUCAAAGAAAUUGACGGGGACCCGCACAAGCGGUGGAGUAUGUGGCUUAAUUCGAUGCAACGCGAAGAACCUUACCUGGGCUUGACAUGUAAUGAACAACAUGUGAAAGCAUGCGACUCUUCGGAGGCGUUACACAGGUGCUGCAUGGCCGUCGUCAGCUCGUGUCGUGAGAUGUUUGGUUAAGUCCAGCAACGAGCGCAACCCCUGUUGCCAGUUACCAUCGAGUAAUGUCGGGGACUCUGGCGAGACUGCCCAGAUCAACUGGGAGGGAGGUGGGGACGACGUCAGGUCAGUAUGGCCCUUAUGCCCAGGGCUGCACACGUACUACAAUGCCCAGUACAGAGGGGGCCGAAGCCGCGAGGCGGAGGAAAUCCUGAAAACUGGGCCCAGUUCGGACUGUAGGCUGCAACCCGCCUACACGAAGCCGGAAUCGCUAGUAAUGGCGCAUCAGCUACGGCGCCGUGAAUACGUUCCCGGGUCU